rnacentral:tRNA from 1 species
GUAAUUCAGUGGUAGAGUGCUUGCCUUGCAUGCAUGAGGUCCUGGGUUCGAUUCCUCAGC